GACGAACGCUGGCGGCGUGCUUAACACAUGCAAGUCGAACGGAAAGGCCUGCUUUCCCUUGUGGAUUGCGGGUACUCGAGUGGCGAACGGGUGAGUAACACGUGAGUGAUCUGCCCCCAACUUGGGUAUAAGCCUGGGAAACUGGGUCUAAUUCCCGAUAGGACUGCAGGGUGGUGCCUGUGGUGGAACACGAUUUUCUAGUGGUUGGGGAUGAGCUCGCGGCCUAUCAGCUUGUUGGUGGGGUAAUGGCCUACCAAGGCGGCGACGGGUAGCCGGCCUGUGAGGGUCGACGGCCACAUUGGGACUGGGACACGGCCCAGACUCCUACGGGAGGCAGCAGUUGGGAAUAUUGCACAAUGGGCGGAAGCCUGAUGCAGCGACGCCGCGUGGGGGAUGACGGCCUUCGGGUUGUAAACUCCUUUCGACCGAGAGGAAGCCACCUGGUUGGAAGGGUGGUGACGGUAGUGGUAGAAGAAGCACCGGCUAACUACGUG
rnacentral:rRNA from 1 species